GGGGUUGUAGCUCAGUGGUAGAGCGUUUGCCUUGCAUGCGUGAGGCCCUGGGUUUGAUCCUCACCAACACAU
rnacentral:tRNA from 1 species